UGGCCUGAUGCCCAUUCAUACGCAGCUUCU
rnacentral:piRNA from 1 species